rnacentral:rRNA from 1 species
UACGUAGGGAGCAAGCGUUGUUCGGAGUUACUGGGCGUAAAGGGUGCGUAGGCGGCUUUUUAAGUUUGGUGUGAAAUCUCCCGGCUCAACUGGGAGGGUGCGCCGAAUACUGAGAGGCUAGAGUGCGGGAGAGGAAAGUGGUAUUCCUGGUGUAGCGGUGAAAUGCGUAGAUAUCAGGAGGAACACCGGUGGUGUAAACGGCUUUCUGGACCGUAACUGACGCUGAGGCACGAAAGCGUGGGUAGCAAACAGG